rnacentral:rRNA from 1 species
UACGUAGGGGGCAAGCGUUGUCCGGAAUCAUUGGGCGUAAAGCGCGUGUAGGCGGUUCGGUAAGUCUGCUGUGAAAGUCCAGGGCUCAACCCUGGGAUGCCGGUGGAUACUGUCGGGCUAGAGUACGGAAGAGGCGAGUGGAAUUCCUGGUGUAGCGGUGAAAUGCGCAGAUAUCAGGAGGAACACCGAUUGCGAAGGCAGCUCGCUGGGACGUAACUGACGCUGAGACGCGAAAGCGUGGGGAGCAAACAGG